rnacentral:rRNA from 1 species
CCGCUGACGACCGGCGCACGGGUGCGUAACGCGUAUAGAACCUACCUUUUACAGGGAGAUAGCCCGGAGAAAUCCGGAUUAAUAUCCCAUAGUAAUGUUUUACGGCAUCGUAAAAUGUUUAAAGCUUCGGUGGUAAAAGAUGGCUAUGCGUCUUAUUAGCUAGUAGGUAAGGUAACGGCUUACCUAGGCAACGAUAAGUAGGGGCCCUGAGAGGGGGAUCCCCCACACUGGUACUGAGACACGGACCAGACUCCUACGGGAGGCAGCAGUGAGGAAUAUUGGACAAUGGGCGCAAGCCUGAUCCAGCCAUGCCGCGUGCAGGAAGACAGCCCUACGGGUUGUAAACUGCUUUUAUACAGGAAGAAUAAGGGGUACGUGUACCCUGGUGACGGUACUGUAAGAAUAAGGACCGGCUAACUCCGUGCCAGCAGCCGCGGUAAUACGGAGGGUCCAAGCGUUAUCCGGAAUCAUUGGGUUUAAAGGGUCCGCAGGCGGGCAAUUAAGUCAGGGGUGAAAUGCUGCAGCUCAACUGUAGCACUGCCCUUGAUACUGG